UCUCUGGUAGUAUAUCGGUUAGUACACGCGCCUGUCAUCCAUAUUCGUAUAGGAUGAGGCUAACGUCCGCGCGAAAGCUGGGUUCGACUCCCAGCCAGAGAG